GAUAAGCGUGAGGUCGGAGGUUCAAGUCCUCCCAGGCCCACCAAUUAUCCAUCCAUAGAAAAGCGCUUAGGGAGCUUGAAAAAGAGCUUUCUCGUAAAGUUUGAAAAAAACUUGUUUAUCGCUUUUUGUAAGAUGUGGCGUUUGUCUGUUUUUAAAGCGGUCGAAACCAAAAGUGUUGCAAAGACAAGGGUCUUGGAGCAGGAAAGAAUAUAAGGUCCAGGUGGUAUCACAUGGUCUAGAGUUGAACUGUUCAGGAUUGGAAUAUUCCAUGUUGAAAUGCUGCGAUAUGAAGGUUUCGGAUAAAUAAUUUCGUUUUGGGGGCCGUAGCUCAGCUGGGAGAGCACCUGCUUUGCAAGCA
rnacentral:misc_RNA from 1 species